GUUGUCGUCAGCUCGUGCCGUGAGAUGUUGGGUUAAGUCCCGCAACGAGCGCAACCCUUAUCCCCAGUUGCCAUCAGGUAAAGCUGGGAACUCUGGGGAGACUGCCGGUGAUAAACCGGAGGAAGGCGGGGAUGACGUCAAGUCCUCAUGGCCCUUACAUCCCGGGCUACACACGUGCUACAAUGGCAGGUACAGAGGGCUGCGAAGCCGCGAGGUGGAGCGAAUCCCAGAAAACCUGUCUCAGUCCGGAUUGAAGUCUGCAACUCGACUUCAUGAAGGCGGAAUCGCUAGUAACCGCGAAUCAGCAGGUCGCGGUGAAUACGUUCCCGGGCCUU
rnacentral:rRNA from 1 species